CCAUGUCGGCUUUAUGCGCUGGCGCCUGAAUCAGCCACUCUGGUCAGAGUACCGGGCACUGG
rnacentral:tRNA from 1 species